rnacentral:rRNA from 1 species
UACAGAGGUCCCAAGCGUUGUUCGGAUUUACUGGGCGUAAAGGGAGCGUAGGUGGCAUUCUAAGUCUGAUGUGAAAGCUCUGAGCUUAACUCAGAAAUGGCAUUAGAUACUAGUUUGCUUGAGGAUUGGAGGGGAGAUUGGAAUUCUUGGUGUAGCAGUGAAAUGCGUAGAUAUCAAGAGGAACACCAGUGGCGAAGGCGAAUCCCUGGACAAUUCCUGACACUGAUGCUCGAAAGCUAGGGGAGCAAACGGG